rnacentral:lncRNA from 1 species
UGAAAAGUGUUUAGAAGUGUGCAGAAAGACUUGUUGAAAUUUGGUCCCAAAUAGGCUAAGAACUCGGAAACAUUGCGUUGAACCACUAAAUGACUUAUCUAGUGUUGUUUGGGGUUAGAAUAUGUUAGAAUACAAUAAAUUUGAUUUAUAACAAGUGCUAAAGAUGCAUGAAAAGUGUUUAGAUGUGUUGAGAAAGACUUGUUGAAAUUGGAUCCCAAAUUGGCUACGAACUCGAAAACAUUGCGUUUAACCACUAAAUGACUUAUCUAGUGUUGUUUGGAAUAAUAAUAUGUUAGAUUACAAUAAAUUUGAUUGAUUACAAGUGCUAGAUAUGCAUGAAGAGUGUUUAGAAGUGUGUAAAAAGACUUGCUGAAAUUUGGUCCAAAAUGGGCUAAGAAUCCAUAAACAUGUCUUUUGAGCUGUAAAUGGUUUGUCUAGUGUUGUUUGGGGUUAGAAUAUGUUAGAAUACAAAAAAUUUGAGGGAUUAAAAGUGCUAGGGAUGCAUGAAAAGUGUUUAGAAGUGUGGAGAAAGACUUGUUGAAAUUAGGUCCCAAAUGGGCUAAGAACUCGGAAACAUUGCGUUGAACCACUAAAUGACUUAUCUAGUGUUGUUUGGGGUUAGAAUAUGUUAGAAUAUAAUUAAUUUGAUUAAUUACAAGUGCUAGAGAUGCAUGAAGAGUGUUUAGAAGUGUGGAGAAAGACUUGUUAAAAUUGGGUCCUAAAUGG